UGCCACCUCAGCAUGGCUUGAUGAGUGGUGCUAGGUCUGUGUCCAGGAUCUGAACCGGUGAAACCCUGGGCCAAAGCUGAGCGUGAAAACUUAACUGCUCAGUCAUGGGGACCAGCCCCCCAAAAGAUGUUCUUUAGAGAAAAGAAAAAUAAUAUAGUUCAGAAACCCAGAUCUACAUAAAGAAAGGAAGAGCAUCAAAGAAGGAAUAAGUGAAGAGUCUUCAUCUGGAAAUGGAGUCAAAGAAAGGAAUAGUCACGAAGAUUAACUGAGGUACUGGUUGCAAAGUAUAAGGCUGGUGUCUGCCUUGGAAUAAGCUGAGAAGCUGGUUCACCUGUCCUGUAUCCUGCUGGAUUCCCUGAGCAAGGUGCAUUCUCCUUCCGAAUAAGCAGUGAGCUCACCACCUGCCCGUCUUGUAUGGGUGAGGAGAAACCUGUCAUACGUCUCCCCUAAGAAGGUGGAAGCCUCUCCGUCCAUUUCAGCUCUGAUUCCAGACCAUAUGCGAGCCCCAGGCUUGUAGAAACAGAGAGGAUAACAGGCCACUGCCCUCCAGGUCACUGCUCAAGAAGACAGAGAGCUGAAAUUAUACCCUUUUCAGAUGGUCGUGUCGGGAAUGUAGGGACCUGACGGCAUGGCAGAGUCACCAUCUCAACCUCAGAGUCUCUACAGGGACGUCAUAGCUGUGGGGAGAGAAGAGGACUUCAACCAGAACUUGCUGUAGCCCAGGGCAGGUCCUGUGUGGCUGCAGGGCCUCCACGCGACAAGACCCUAAUGGUGAGGAGAGACUCUCUUGCUACUCGGCGGGUCUUGCUGGACUGGCACCAUUGGCCUCACCUGGGGCUUCUGAGAAAUGCAGACUCUCAGGCCCACCUGGACUUACUGACCGGAAUGUGCACUUUAACUGGAUCCCCAGCCCAUCUCAUCUGAACCCUCAGUGCUCUUCAUGUCUGUGCCAGAGAAACAUAAGAUUUAAGAGCUUACUAAUCACCAGAUGCUCUGCUGCUCUUUACAUCCACGAGACAGAUUCUUUCACUGUCAGCAUCUCCAUCACACAGAGACAAAAGCAGACCUGGAUUAGGAGGAAGUCUGCUGGCAGCUACCCAGCAGAUGCGAGGGCAGCAGUUGGGGUCCAGUGUGUGUUUGCUGGGCCCCCGGGCCAUUCGCUCAAUUUUAGGUCUACAGUCGCAUGUGAUCAAUGCUCUCCACCGGUGCCCUGGCUGACGUCCCCGGUUAUUUCUCAGUUGACAGAUUCCUCCGAAGGACGGUCCAGCUUUCCUUCCAAUCUGCUGGCCUGAAGGAUCUAAAGAGGCUUAAGGUCCAAACCAGAUGCACGAGCAACAGCCUUGCACAGCUUCCUCCACCUGCAGCCACAAGUGUGAAAGGUCCAAUCCUGAUAAGGAAUCUGUUCUGUAGUGCUCCUAGUCUUUCUGCUUCUGUGAUCACACCCUGACUUCCCACCUGCACGUAUCAAAGGGCAGCCUGUUACAGCGGCUAGAGGAGGAGACGACUGAGAAGGGGUCUCCAGCACGUCUCCCUAGGACUCCAGGCAGGGAAAAGAGAAGGACAUCUCCUCGCUCUCUUCUCCAGAGAGAAGGCGUGUCUUGUCCAAGGCAGGGGCUUGGGAAAGACGAGACUCACAAGGAUGGGACAGCCCAGGCCAGCUUAGGCAGGUGGACGGCGGGGGCUUUGGACGGGCCUCACCACAUUUGAGUGCUGGCUCUACCCCUCACUGCAGACCUUAGACCAGCCAUGUGGCCGCCAGGGCUCCAGCCUCUUCACCUGCAAAGUGGAACCCUCCCCACUGGGUUUCUCUGAGGAGCACGGAGGUCACUGGAUGUACACUGUGCACAUGGACAGCACUGAAUGAGCAUUAACUGCCUCUGCUUUCAACCCCAAGGGGGUCCCAGAGCAGGAGAUGGCAGCAAGGAGCCCGCGCAACAUCAGCAGAUGCUGGUGGGAAGGAAGCUGCAGCCUCUGCAGAAAGCUGUCUUGUCUUGGGGUCACGGUUGGACCCUGUCUGUGGACUAACAGCUCAGACCCACCUUGGGCCCAUCCAGCUGCACUGACGCCCUGCUCUGCUCCAUCCUCGGGCCCCGAGCCAAAGCCCUCAUAAUCCAUGCCCCAGGGAGACGUCGUCCACAGCAAACCGCUUCUCCUCUUUGUCUGACCCGAGGCUUGUAGCUUUUUAUUUAUCUUACACACCAAAAAGCUUCAAGAUAAAUUCCUUUCCAGGUUAUUAUUGCAUUCUUAUCUCAGAAACCUGUUUGCAUCUCCCCUUUCUGCUUAUUCUUGGAAUAUUAAGGGUUCUUACCCCGGGAUUUAGGAAAUUCACGAACUCUUGAAAGUAAAUGUAAAGUUUAGUCUGUGUGUGGGGUGUGUGUGUGUGUGUGUGUGUGUGUGUAGUAUUUCUGGGUGGGGGAGCUUCAUAGCUUUCGCCAGGUUUUCAGGAAGAAAGCAACACUGCUUUAGAUGGUCUAUUCUAUUAAAAUGUCCUAAUCG
rnacentral:lncRNA from 1 species